GAUGAAGAACGUAGCGAAAUGCGAUAAGUAGUGUGAAUUGCAGAAUUCAGUGAAUCAUCGAAUCUUUGAACGCACAUUGCGCCUUUUGGAAAAUGCUAAAAGGCAUGCCUGUUCGAGCGUCAUUUCAACCCUCAGGGCCCGUCCGCGGGACCUGGCGUUGGGGAUCGGCCGCGCCCACAGAGGCCGGCCGGCCCUGAAAUACAGUGGCGGUCACGUCGCGACCUCCCCCGCGUAGUAGAAUACACCUCGCGGCGGGAAGGCGGCGCGGCCACGCCGUGAAACCCCCUACUUCUCAAGGUUGACCUCGGAUCAGGUAGGAAUACCCGCUGAACUUAAGCAUAUCAAUAAGCGGAGGA
rnacentral:misc_RNA from 1 species